rnacentral:lncRNA from 1 species
UUGUAUGCCGGAAGGGAUAAAUCUGGGGCUGAGUACAAGCAAAACAAGACCAAAGGAAGCUACCUGAGCAGGUAUUCCAGAUACUCAUGUCAUACACCAAGGUUGUACCAGUGCCCCUUUCUCUGUGACACAUCCAUCCACUGGAAACUUUCGUACAACUAGCUGAAAGAAGAGAAACAUCCUAUUUCAUGUCACUGGAGCCCUAAUGAUCGCAGCCAUUUCAGGAAAUGCCAUCAAUUACAGUGAGGAGCUCAUUCAGAAGUGAAAGAUGAGUUCCAUUCUCUGUUACUUAGAGCUGGAGGGAGGAUGGCAUUUCAAGAGGUGGCAAGUGGUCCUUCUUCACAGUCAUAUCUCUCAUUCUGCAAGCCAAAGACUCAAUCUGCAUAAUAUUCCAUGGUGUAUAUAUACCACAUUCUUUUCCCAGUCAUCAAUCACUGGACGCUUAAGUUGAGUAAUGGCUUUUUAUUGAGGGUAUUACAAAGCUCAAAUCUGAGAAAACCUUGUCUACCAUCAACCCUGACCUACAGAGGAGAGGCACCCCCAAGCUUAUUAGUGAUCCUGUCUCCGUCUUAUUGGCACAUCCUGAUGGCCUUGAUCUCUAGUUCUUCCUGUGGAGCAUAACCAUAUGGUUCUUUGCCAAGAUGUUAAGACCAAAGUCGGAGAGUGAACCCCAUGUCAAUGAAUUCUUGUUUUUCUGAUCUUACAUUCCAUCACUUUGAUCCAGUACUCUCAAAAUGCAAUCACAGUUGUACAUGUCUUCUCCUGUCAAUAAACGCUACCUUAGUACUGCA